AAAUUGAAGAGUUUGAUCAUGGCUCAGAUUGAACGCUGGCGGCAGGCCUAACACAUGCAAGUCGAACGGUAACAGAAAGAAGCUUGCUUCUUUGCUGACGAGUGGCGGACGGGUGAGUAAUGUCUGGGAAACUGCCCGAUGGAGGGGGAUAACUACUGGAAACGGUAGCUAAUACCGCAUAACGUCGCAAGACCAAAGAGGGGGACCUUCGGGCCUCUUGCCAUCGGAUGUGCCCAGAUGGGAUUAGCUAGUAGGCGGGGUAACGGCCCACCUAGGCGACGAUCUCUAGCUGGUCUGAGAGGAUGA
rnacentral:rRNA from 1 species